AGCCCGAAAGACAUACAACAACCCUUUAUUUGAAUUGUUGUUUCUUUACAGCCCACACUAUAAAAUAAAGUUGUUACACUUCUAAUGAAAGAAAGAAUUAAUAAAUAUUCUUCAUAGAACCAAUAAAUUAUCUCAUAAGUAGCCCUUUAUCAAGUACCUGGAAAAAUGAGAGUAACUGAGCAUCAACAAAAGUGAUUAAUUAACUUUAUCAUAUAUGCAAAUAUACCUUACAAUGAAAUGAAAGAUGUGAUAUUCGUGCAGAUUAUGUGGAUCAGAGAAGGCAGAUCAGCAAUCCGUAGUAAACAAAUAGUUCAAACAUGUCCUGUAUCAAGAAAAAGUAAUAAAACUACAAAAGUUAGAAACACUUUCCAUUAACAUAUAAAGCAGAUCUCAAGAGGAGUGAUGGCUAAAAAUGUGGGGAAAAUUCAGCCCUAGGCAUGAAUAACCUAAUCUCCCCUUUGGUUUCCUUGCUUGUAAUGGUGCUGAGAGCAGCCCCUAGAAUGAUAUUUCAGCAUUUUGAUUAAGUCAUAAUGAGGGGAACAAAAUGUAGCACAAUAACUUCUGAGUUAUAAUACGAGGAAAUGUAUUCAGAACAGGCACUGCUUGUUCUCAAAGAUCUGAAACUUAUGUUUUAUAAAUCAGAAAUAAUUUCGUGCAUAUAUUCUAGGCUUUCAGUGGCUUGGGAGAAUCAAGUUCAAUUUUCUUUUUAAUUAAUUCAAAUAAUUUACUAUGCAAUGUACUUUUUAAAAAGGGAUAGAAGGUGUAAUCCAUGAUGUCAAACCAUUUUUAUGUUUGAAUAAGAAAGGUUAGUGAAGUUUGAUGGACCAUAGGGACUUGUGUGGAGAGGAGGGAAACUCUUUUUCCUUCAAUAUCCAGAUAGUUGUGGGGAGGGGACUGACCAUAGCAGAGGAAUAUUGGGUUUGCCUUCCACCUGAACUGCAUAGGGUUUCUAUGUAAAUUUUCUUGUUGAAUUACAUUGCCUGCUAAAAAUUGGAGAGCAAUAGCAUUGUAUCGCUAUGAGGAGAAACAGAGGUUUGGGCUGUCACUGUGCAAUACCUGCUAAAGUAGUGCCAUUCCCUCCCCCAUGGUAUAGCGGCAUAGGAUGAAGUGAGUCCUACACUUUCGGGGAGAAGCUCUUUUUUGACCUCUAAUUAAAACUCAUUUUCUUUUAUUUCCUUUCCUUAAUUUUGUGACUAGAGCUUUUAAUCUUUUCUGAUGUUCUUUUCUUAUUUGGGAGAAGGCACUUUAUUCAUGUGCAGUCCUCAUCAGAAAUCACUGAUGUUUUUGUUUUUUACCUCUAUCUUUAAAACCGUUUUUUCCCCUAGUCUGUGAGGGACUUUGACUCUACCAUUGCUAUUAACCAAAAUGACUAGAAAACAAAGAUUGGUGCAGACUAUGUCAACACUUCAUACCAUGGUUGGUACAAUUUGAUCUACAUUGCCUUUGGCCUGCACAUUCUUUUGCAUUCGUCUUAUGGCACUGUUGUUUUAUAAAAGGCUUAUGGAUAUCAGAACAUAGUCUCUUAUGAGUGAGAAAUAUGUUGAUCAAAAAACAUUGAUUAGACUUCCUUUUUAAAUACACAAAUUAUUGACAAAUAGCAAGUAGCACAGAAUCUUUUUAUUUCUUUUUUGUAUCUGUAAUUGAAGCAUAAACUUGCUUAUAUUGAUAUAUAGUAAUAUUCAUAGAUUUUCCCUGAAGUCUUAUUGAUAUGAGUUGUUAAGAUUUGCAUUGGAUUCUGUAGCCAUGGAUUCAUACAACUAGAACACCCCCCAAAAAAUUCCAAAAAAGCAAAUCUUGAUUUUAUCAUUUCAUAUAAUACUACUACUACACAACUUUAUAUAAUAGUACUUCAGAAUCUACAGAUUUUGGUAUCCAUGGGGGAGUUCUUGAACUAAAUCCUAGAAGAUGCCAUGGACCCAGUAUAGAUUUCUUGACUGCUUGUGCUGCAUUUCUCCUCACUUUUAAUGGCACUCUGUUUCUUCUUAGAUUUUCAUUUCUUGAAUAAAACAUUUUGUUAUAUGAUUCAAAUGCACCAUUCCUAUUGCUUUAGCUAUCUCACCCCAAUUAUUGCAAUGUUUUACAAUGACUGAUUAAUGCUUCUCGCAUUUGUUGUUUCUAUAGUAUGUGUUGUACAGCUUCAAACUUUCCUUUUACUUCUGAGCAUGUCAACAGCUGAAAAUCCUUUCAGCUUGAGUCCAUUGUGUCAUUAACCAUAACACCUGUAUUCUGUUGUUCUCCAACAACUCUUUGUGUAUCUGAUAGUUAAUCUUCUGGUAAUAUCUCUGGUUUUGAUUCAGAUCAUCUCAUCAAAGAGUUUUCAUCGUAAAGGGGAUUUCCCUUUUCUUUUUUAAAUAGUACUAAGAAGUAUUAGCUAUGAUGCCACUGCCAUUGUCUCUGAGAGAUCCUCCACCACAGACAUAUAAAGUAAUUCUGCUGCCUAUAUCUGUUUGAUACAUUUAGUCCAGUUCCUCAGCAAAUGUCUGUCGGACAUUGUCAAACCCACUAGCACUACUGCUACCAUAAGUAUGACCUCUUACAUUAUAAGAGCAUGCAGUCCUGUACCACAGAAAAAUAAUGCCAUUUAUAGUGAAGCACAGAUCAUCCCCUUGCUCCACUAUAAAUAUGGAUCUUUUUCCGUAGCUUAUCCUUACUAUGUCUCUCACUUGCUUAUUCUAGUCAGCCCGUAGGUUCUAAUAGUUAAAGUUGAAAAAAAUUCAAACUCAGCAGUCAUGUAAGCAAAACAUUGUAAUGACAUGCAAAUCUAAAUACACCCAUUUCCAGCUGAUUUUCAAAGUUUUUUGAGGAACAAAUCUCUAGAGAGUACAGAGGAUCUCCAGGUAAGGCUAAGAAAAAAUUGCCACUCAGAGUUGACAGUACUGCACUAGGUGGGCCAGUAGUCUAACUUAAUAUAACGCAGCUUUCUGUGUUCUCCCAGAAGAGUAAAGUGGGAUCACAUCUAUAUGCUCCACUGCCAGCGCUCGUGCAUAAAGAGCCUGAAUGUCUAGAACGGUGUAUCUUUGAGCGUCUUUAUAUACUUAGGCUUUCCAUGUAACUUUGAAAUGCCAUCUUUAAAGAGUACCUCCUCACACAGCAGCAAACAAUUUGACAGAACUUUUCUUGGUGUACUUCUAAUAUGCAUACUAGGGCAGAGGUGGUGAUUUCUGCUUUUAUGGCAUUUAGAACUUUGAAGUUAUGUGGGGAUUGUUAUAAAGAACUUUGAAGUUGUGUGAGGAUUGUUAUAAAGUAAGUUGUCUCCUGUAAGUAACUUAUUUUGACAGCUAAGUAGACAUGUGUCAAAACAACCUUCUCAUUGAAAGGAUUUAUAUUCCAAAGCUCAAACAACAUAAUUUUAAAACAAAGAGCAAAUCUCACUUCUCCUUUUUUAAUAGAUCACCAUAAGUGUGACAUAGCAUUUUGCUGUUAUUUGGAGGCAUAAUUGUGUGCUGGACCACAACACCUGGUUAAAGCUUACUAUUCCUAAAAGUGUCUAGCUACAAGUAUAGAAACCUGUUUUCUCUUGUCAUCUUUGUUCAGUGAUGUAGGGCCUCCAGCAGUACCUGAGGUAGAAAAAAAAAAGGGCUUAGGAUGCCUUUGACACAACGUCUCCCAACCACCUCCACUCCCUACCCCAGCAGAGAAGCGGCAAAUAACUGCUGCUGCGGUGGAGAAAUCAAAGAGGAUCAGAGCUUCUUUCAGGUUAUUCUGGGAUGGAAUAAACUUUGUCUAUCUUGAGAGACCCUAAAUUUAAGAAGAACAAAUCUCCUCUGCUUUCUCCAUCAUGUCAGAGGUUUGGCUACUGGCAUUUUUUAAAGGAGGCAUUACAAAAGGUCUGGUGGGGUGCAGUCAGCAGCAUUGUAUUGACUCAUUUCUAAGUUGACCAAAAUGUUUUUUUUAAUUGAUUUUUUGAUAUAAAUUUUUAAUUUACACACAAAUAUAUAUGGUUAUUGGUGAAGUGGUUUCAUUUGGCCCAGAAAUGAUAAGGCAACUGAUCAGUUUGAAGAGUUGGACUGGAUGUUUCCUUGGUGUGUGUGUCUGUUAGAGCUGAGCUGACUACCACCCUUUUCUUAACAUUAUUUUCUGCCAAUUUUGAUGCUGAGUAUGUACAAGAUAUGUGAAUAGGAAUCUAAUUUUAAUAUCCUAUAAAUCAGUGAACAGUGUUUCACCAGAAUUCUGGAUCUUCCUGCCUUACUAUUUCAUGAUGCAGCUCUUCAUUUGCUUUUCCUGCUAAGAACACAAUUAGAAUCAGAAACUAUUUUAUAUCAUUUGAAUAGCCUUGGUCCUGUCAUAAAGCAGAUGAAAUGGCUGCCCCAGGAUGGAUAGGUGAUGGCAUGGUGCUAGAGAUUACAAUUGUGUUUGUCACAUGAUCUGGCAUAUGCCAGCUAGGUUGGUCUACCACUUCAGGCAUGUGAAGGAUGCUGUCUGGCAACUCGAUUCAGGUGCUAGUCCGACCAGCUUCUGUACAUGGAAUGGGAAGAGAUGGCACAUUAGCCUUUUCCUCUGGAAGCAAAAUGAUUAACUGCAUGAGGCUUGUUGCCUCCCUUAGUUUUAUUUCUUUAAAAUAAGCAUGUGGAUUAUGAUCUCAAUUGAAACUGCAUGUGUGGAAAAAUUUCACAGUUGCAUUUUUCCAAUUCAUCCCAUUUGAAUCCCUGCCUUGAGGGGGAGUUUUUAGAAGAAAGAGGCUGGAAAAAGAUUUAAAUAAGCAAUGGGCAACUGAAUGGGAGUCAGAGGAUUACCCCCCCCCCCCCCCAAUAAGAUAACCGCAUGUACUGUAUCCCCCACAGAAAGUUCAAAUAUCUGUUCUCUAAAUGACAACAGGUAGUGUUAUUGAAUCACUGCCUAUCACCAUUUUGAUAGGGAAAGGAAAGGAAAAUUGAGGCAUUUGGGAUAGUCAAUGAUAGUUAUUUUUAUGGUUUCCAUGUUGGUUAGGUUUCUGUGUUAUUUGGGGCAGAAAUUAUCUGAAAAUUGUGAAUUUUAAAAAAUUCCCUUUCUCUGUAUAUUUGGGGCCCAAUAUGAACAAGAUUGCCUCUGCCCUGUGCAACUUUUCAGGAAACGUUAGGGAAAAGGAAUAACUGGAAAACUCCCACCUUCUUCCUAGCAUCCCAGAAGCAAUAACACACUAAAGACGUUAUCACAUUAGGAAAUACUCAAUUUUAAUCAUUAUGCAUCCUGUAUUUUUUCUAUGGCUGGUUGGAUACUGUUUUCAGACGGGAUGCAUACUGACCCCAUCACACCCUAAUACUAUGAUUCUUAUCUUCAGAAAAUACUGCGCUUUAACUCAUCACACUUCUGAAGGCUGGCUCCUCCAAAACCAUUCAAAAGACUCCCAACAUUACUCUGUGACCCCCGUUAACAUUUUUUCCCUAAGGUUGUGCAGUGAUGUAGCCUGAAGUCUUGAACUACCACUUUCACAAGACUUGCAAAACAUCUUGUGCCUGUGCAGUAAUAGGUUCGCCUAAUCAUUAUUCUUUGGUAUGAAACUGCAAAUCCUUUAAUUUCCUUUCAUCACAAACCGGCAUGUUACCUUUUUCAAGGUAUUUUUUGUUGUUGAUAUGGUUCUUUUGCCACAUCAGCUGCCGAUGUUGCUUCAUUUAUUUAUUCAAGUUUAUGAGGCUGAACUUGAGGCGAUGUAGAGGCAACAGCAGCUUUUAUCAAUACGGCUUCUCUUUUUUGAGAAGGCAUAAUAUAUAUUACUUCAAUGUGUUUUGUGGUUAUGUGGCUGUGGUGGACAGUGCCCAUACAUGGGAAGGGACAACUCUGGAGCGAAGACAAUAGUAGGUGAGAACCAGUGCCAGAAGGAAUUGAUGGAGAAACAGUGUUCUUUCCCAGUGGAACCAUGCUCUGCGGUUGCGUAACUUCAGGAUGAGCAAUGUCACUUUGUUUGAAAUUGCUUCCUUCCUUCAACCUCACCUGGAGAGGAGAAACAAUUAUGCAAGAUGCAAUCAACAUGGAGGAGAGGGUUGCCACAGCGAACUGGCGGAUGUCAUCACCACCUGUACCGAAAGGUUGCUUCACAUUUUAGUGUGGGGAAUUCCACUCUUUCCAGGAUUGCAAUUGAGCCUUGCAUCACCAUUGAGAAGGUACUGCUGAGGAGAACAGUGCAACUUGGUGACUACAGAAAGAUCACGGAUGAGUUCCAGGGGAUUGGUUUCUCUCACUUCAUUAGAGCUUUGGAUGCCACUCAUAUUCCUGUCUGCCCUCCUGUCUGGAAGGCUGAAGAGUUCCUAAACAGGAAAAAUCCCAUUCUCAAUUAUCCUGCAAGGAACCAUUGAGCACACAGGAUGUUUUAUUGACUUUGAGCUAGAUUACUCUGGAAGAAACCAUGAAGCCACAUUUUGUGCUACUCUGCAUUGUGGCAGGCAGUGUAAAUUGGUGUAUUGUAACUGACAAUCCCACAGUCACAAUUCAUGGAGGCCAGGUGCCACUUCUCACCAAGAUCAGUUCUAGUCCUCAUUUGCCUCAGCCAUGAACCAGGAGACAAGCAGUUUUGGGCCGGUAAUCCCUCUGGUUUUGAUCCUGCAUGAAAAAGAAGAGAAAUUGACCAGUACUGGAGUGUGCUAUAUUUGGAGACAUAUGCAAAAAUACAUAUUACUAACCAUUUGUAAUUUCCAUCUUCACAAAUUUUAUUAAAAUCAUCUCCUUCCCCAUUAUCUGCUUUCAGUUACAUUGUAUUGCACUUACAGGUCCUAAAUGGAUAUUACAUACCUCUUUCUGAUUGCCAAUCCUGGUAGUCCCUGCUCCCUUCCUCCUUCUACUUUGGUUUCUGGCCCAUCUCCAACAGUGCGAGUGGAAUAUCUAGGCUCUCAGCCCUCAACACCAAAGCACUCUGUUGGGAUACAAAAAAAAUCCACAUUGCAUUCUCCCUUUAAGCAACAGCAUGUGCAACAAUUAACUGUCAUUACCAGCAGUAAUAUUAGUUAACUGAGUGUCCUUCACCAUGUAAGGAUUGUCUUCCUUUGUAGCUGUGAUUAAAAUUUAAAUAGAAACAAUUACAUUUUAAUUUUGCUACUUCAGCUAAAAAACAUGAUGUAAUUCUGUGCUUGCUUGCUUGCAGAAUAGUCCUUGUAGUCACUCUUUUCUCUCUCCAAACUCCAGCGAUGGUCAAAGCAGAAAAAAGUGCCGAAAUACAAUCUCUGCAGUUUCACACAAUGUUCAAAUGCUGAUGUCACUGUGCUUAUACAUGUUUGACCACCCCCCAGCCACAAGCAUUGCGGACAGUGAGCAUGUGGAGGGGUUUUGUGUUUACAGCCAUUUUUGCAGCAGAUAACUUCAUUUUAUUUUAAAGAGAUGUCUCUCUAAAGAACGUGGUGGAGGAAUGAGGAUGUCCUUUUUCUGGCCAAACCCAAACUCAAGUCAUAUAAUGGCUACAACCACACUUUGGAACAAGACUUUGUACAGCGGAAUAGCGAAAUGCUUAACUGCUGUGAUAUAUAGACGAACCACACAGCAAGUGAUCAGCAAGUGAAAGUCUUUAAAAAAUAAAUUAAUUAGACACAUGCUCCUUUUUAAUGGUAAUCCGCUAGAGCAAAAUAUACCAGAGUUUUGUAAUGAAUUAAGAAAACUGUGGAAGGCAGCAGGAGAACCAUCAUGGGAGGAUCAUAUGAGGUGUAAGUGUGAAAUACAGUUUUUAGAAUUUUUAUUUCUAAAAACACAUUAUUACAUUCAAAGUAAAUUAGAUUUACUAAUUGUCAGGAGGGAAUUUUCACAAUAACGUUAUCUUAAGUUUACAUGUUAAUGGAGGACUUGAUGAAACACAUAACUCCUUUCUCCAAAUCAAAUAUUUCAGUUAUUAUAAUUUAGUAAAUAUUGGUUUGGCUAACGCCCUGAGUUUUCUCCACUCCCCCCACCCCCCGGAGGGGGUGAGAAGGACGAGACAUAAAUGCUGCUGUGCUUACAUUCAUAAGCAAAUAUUUUGUUUGAUUUCAGGGUUUUGGAAAUUGAGAUGUGCAUUAGAUUUGAUGGCACAUUAGACUCAAGUAGAUACAGAUUUGUUACAUGAACAAUUUUUUGCUACUUUUUCUUAGGAAGAAGAGGAAUGGGCAGAGAAAGAUGGAAAUAGUAAUAGGGUGGUAUUUAUAAAUUCAAUAUUUCUUUGGGCAACCACAGAUGACUUGAAAUAUUCUGACAUUAUUUCAUUCUCAUUCCACAGAUGGGAAGAGGAGGAGCAAGGUGUUGGAUUUCUGCAGGAAGUUACCCGACAUCUGUAAAACCUAGAAGACUGGGUAUCCAAUGUUCAGUUGAAUCCAGUGAACAGUUUAUAUUGUGUUUGAUUUCUUUUAUUAAUACUCUCUACAUUAUUUUUGUACUGAAUGGAGUAUUGUAUUUUUAAGUUUUGUGUGGUAUUGAACAUAGUAUAUUUUUCCUGUAUUAUCAUAAUUUUAAAAAUAGUGCAGUGUUUUUAAAUACGAUAAAAAGCUGGAACUACACAUAAAGAGAAGUGCAAUUUCACUGUAUUUUAUUUCCUUUGCACAGUUUUAAUCAGUGUAUAUUAUACAGUGUAAUGUCCAGAAGAUACUUUAUCUAACUAACUUGUUAGAUUAUAGUAAUCAUUAACAUUUAAUAGCAGGGUUCUAUGAGUCAAAUAUAUAGGUUUUGAAGACAUAUGAUUGUUUAAAUUUAUAAACAACACUAUGCCUUGUAAGAUUAUUUUUUUUACUUCUAAAAUUAUAAAAAAUAAUAAUAUAAAAACAUUUUAUUUAUUAAAAAUGUGUAAUCUCGUCUCCUGCAUUAAGGCAGAGGUACUUUUGUUCAAAAACACAUAAUACUGAAUGGAAAGGUGUUACAGAAUAUCAUAUUAUAAUGAUAAGGUAUCAGAAACAAUCAAAAUAUAGUAUUUUAGUCUGUCUAAUUUACAAAGCAGUAAUGUAACAGUGGCCAAUAUACAUGUAAUUUCUGGAUGAUAUGAGCCAUUAAAAUUUAACUUUAGAUCA